CCGAGUUUACAAACUCCCAAACCCAUGUGAACAUACCUACUGUUGCUUCGGCCGGGGAUUGCCCCGGGCGCCUCGUGUGCCCCGGAUCAGGCGCCCCGCCUAGGAAACUUAACUCUUGUUUUAUUUUGGAAUCUUCUGAGUAGUUUUUACAAAUAAAUAA
rnacentral:misc_RNA from 1 species